GACGAACGCUGGCGGCGUGCUUAACACAUGCAAGUCGAACGGAAAGGCCCUGCUUUUGUGGGGUGCUCGAGUGGCGAACGGGUGAGUAACACGUGAGUAACCUGCCCUUGACUUUGGGAUAACUUCAGGAAACUGGGGCUAAUACCGGAUAGGAGCUCCUGCUGCACGGUGGGGGUUGGAAAGUUUCGGCGGUUGGGGAUAGACUCGCGGCUUAUCAGCUUGUUGGUGGAGUAGUGGCUUACCAAGGCUUUGACGGGUAGCCGGCAUGAGAGGGUGACCGGCCACAUUGGGACUGAGAUACGGCGCAGACUCCUACGGGAGGCAGCAGUGGGGAGUAUUGCACAAUGGGCGGAAGCCAGAUGCAGCAACGCCGCGUGCGGGAUGACGGCCUUCGAGUUGUAAACCGCUUUCGCCUGUGACGAAGCGUGAGUGACGGUAAUGGGUAAAGAAGCACCGGCUAACUACGUG
rnacentral:rRNA from 1 species